CCUACGGGAGGCAGCAGUGAGGAAUAUUGGUCAAUGGUCGGGAGACUGAACCAGCCAAGCCGCGUGAGGGAGGAAGGUACAGAGUAUCGUAAACCUCUUUUGCCGGGGAGCAGAGGUCCGGACGUGUCCGGGCCGGGAGAGUACCCGGAGAAAAAGCAUCGGCUAACUCCGUGCCAGCAGCCGCGGUAAUACGGAGGAUGCGAGCGUUAUCCGGAUUUAUUGGGUUUAAAGGGUGCGUAGGCGGGCAUUUAAGCCGGCGGUCAAAUGUCGGGGCUCAACCCCGGCCUGCCGUCGGAACUGGGUGC
rnacentral:rRNA from 1 species